AAAGUCGUAACAAGAUAACCGUAGGUGGGCCUGCGGUUGGAUUAUUACAAAAUUGGUAUCUUACCAAACACUGUGUGCACCACAGCUGUUCUUGGCAGCGUAUUGGAUGGAUCAGGUAAUAUUGAUCUGUCAAUCGCUGCUGCAUGUCCGAAAAUUGUAUUACAAGAUUUUAGUUUGCAUUAGUUCACCACAAAGUGAAAAGAAAAACAACUUUUGACAAGGGAUCUCUUGGCUCUU
rnacentral:misc_RNA from 1 species